AGGAUAAACGCUGGCGGCGUGCCUAACACAUGCAAGUCGAACGCGCUUUCGUCUUCGGAGGAGAGCGAGUGGCGGACGGGUGAGUAACACAUGGGUACCUACCCCACAGUGAGGAAUACCGGCGAGAAAUCGCCGACAAUACCGCAUACGUUUCGCAAGAAACAAAGUCGCAAGACGCCGGAGGAGGAGCCUGCGCCCGAUUAGCUAGUUGGUGGAGUAAUGGUCUACCAAGGCGACGAUCGGUAGCUGGUCUGAGAGGAUGAUCAGCCACACUGGGAUUGAGAACGGCCCAGACUCCUACGGGGGCAGCAGUGAGGAAUUUUCGUCAAUGGGGGAAACCCUGAACGAGCAACGCCGCGUGCAGGAAGACACUUUUCGGAGCGUAAACUGCUUUUCUCGGGGACGAGUAAGGACGGUACCCGAGGAAUCAGCCCCGGCUAACUACGCGCCAGCAGCCGC
rnacentral:rRNA from 1 species